GUAUAUUCAAUCAUGUAGAUAUAUAGGGUUAGAUGUAAUAAUUAAUAAAGAUAUAACUUAAUCUUAAUGGUUAAGAGCUUAGCAUACUCUUAAGAGAUCCUAGGUUUUAUCACGAAAGUCAAUUCAAAAUAAAUGUUAAAUGGAGUAAAAACUUACUAAGGCUGCGUUCUUCAUUGCUUAAGAGACAGGACUUUUACUUGAAAAAGUGUUUUUCUUUGAAAAGCAAUGAAGAACAGCCUUCAUUUAGUAGCAAAUUCUCAGAAAUUGAGAAUUGCUUUUAGGCAGAUAGAGAAGUAAAAUUUUUAAGCUUUUCAGCCAAAAAAUGCUUUUGGCUGGUUCAUUUACUUUUUUAGCCACACACGACCGCCCUUCUUUGUUCUCUGCUCUCUGUUGGUUCUUUGCCCUCAUCCCUGCCCUCUGCCGGUUCUUUGUUCCUCUGCUCUCUGUCGGUGAGUUUAUCUUUUUCUUCUCUUCUUCUGUAUAUUUUUGUUUGUCUGGGAUUGAUUUUCGUAAUUGAUUGAAGAUUGGAUAGGAGAUAAACUUAGGUUGUCAACACUUCCUUCAUCUCCUACAUCGAGCGAAAAGAGUAAGAGACAACAAUGGUUACUUUCCGGGUAAGUUAUUGAGAGUAAAAGACUGUUUUAGGAUCAAAUGAUGAUGCUGUAAUAGGCCAUUUUAGCCCGGGCCCAAAUGUAUAAACCUUAAAAUAACAAAUACAAUAAACAGUCUAUUUUUACAAAUAACCCAAUCGGCCCAAUAGCUUAGCCCAAACAGCAGAAAUUGGCCCAAUUGUCCCACAAGAUGUUUUUGGCAAAUGAGGCAGAAACCCUAGGACGUGCUGCACGACUCCCUCGCAUGCCUCCGCGAAUGUUGCCCCACGUCGCUUCUCUCGCGUUCAGUAGCCUCAGACGUUAUACACGUCUCCUCUAGUGUUUCUGAAAGAAGUCACGAUCAGCACAUUGGGCAGUUUUUUUUUUCACAUGGUGGCAGCAAAUAAACUAGGAACAGUACUAAGAGAAAAUAGACAGCAAAAAAAGAAGGUAGAGGGAAAAAAGGGGAAAAAAGAUUUCUGUAACUGGGUUUUUAGCAAAAUUUUUGUACCGAAAUUAAAGGAAAAAAUACAAAAGAGAAUGAAACGAUCUUUUGAAGGUGACCAUUGGGGUUUUGUCUUUUCCCUUUCCUGUUUACUGUUUUUUUAUUUCAUUUUCCUCUUUGUUUUUUUUAAAACAAAACGCGAGAAAAGGGAGCGGAGGAAGACUUACCGUCGCGGCGGCGUUGGAAAACCCUUUCGUUUCGCGGUUGUCGGAGCAAAGUGGGUCGAAAAUGAUGGAGAGCAGAGGUGCUGCUGCGGCACAUUUUGGGAAUGGCAGAGGGAAAUUAUUUUUUAGGAUUUGAGAAAAGGGGUUU
rnacentral:lncRNA from 1 species